rnacentral:rRNA from 1 species
UGGGGAAUAUUGCACAAUGGGGGAAACCCUGAUGCAGCGACGCCGCGUGAGUGAAGAAGUACCUCGGUACGUAAAGCUCUAUCAGCAGGGAAGAAAAUGACGGUACCUGACCAAGAAGCCCCGGCUAACUACGUGCCAGCAGCCGCGGUAAUACGUAGGGGGCAAGCGUUAUCCGGAUUUACUGGGUGUAAAGGGAGCGUAGACGGCAGCGCAAGUCUGGAGUGAAAUCCCGGGGCUCAACCCCGGAACUGCUUUGGAAACUGCGCGGCUCGAGUGCAGGAGGGGCAGGCGGAAUUCCUAGUG